GGCGCGUUGGUGAAGAGGAAACACGGGAGUCUGCAAAACUCCUACUGCACCGGUUCGAUUCCGGUACGCGCCU
rnacentral:tRNA from 1 species